GCCUCAGUACGGCGAGUGAGCGGCAAAAGCUCAAAUUUGAAAUCUAGCACUUUCAGUGUUCGAGUUGUAAUUUGAAGAAGGUAACUUUGGUUUUGGCUCUUGUCUAUGUUCCUUGGAACAGGACGUCACAGAGGGUGAGAAUCCCGUGCGAUGAGAUGCCCAAUUCCAUGUAAAGUGCUUUCGAAGAGUCGAGUUGUUUGGGAAUGCAGCUCUAAGUGGGUGGUAAAUUCCAUCUAAAGCUAAAUAUUGGCGAGAGACCGAUAGCGAACAAGUACAGUGAUGGAAAGAUGAAAAGAACUUUGAAAAGAGAGUGAAAAAGUACGUGAAAUUGUUGAAAGGGAAGGGCUUGAGAUCAGACUUGGUAUUUUGCGUUCCCUUCCUUUUUGGUUGGGUUCCUCGCAGUUUACUGGGCCAGCAUCGGUUUGGAUGGUAGGAUAAUGACAUUGGAAUGUAGCUUUACUUCGGUGAAGUGUUAUAGACUUUGUUGAUACUGCCUAUCUAGACCGAGGACUGCGUCUUUGACUAGGAUGCUGGCGUAAUGAUCUUAAGCCGCCCGUCUUGAAACCACGGACC
rnacentral:rRNA from 1 species